UCCGAGUUUCUCUCGGCAGUCGGGCCUGAGGGAUACAACAGGACCCGAGGGUUGCGCUCGUUGCGGGACUUAACCCAACAUCUCACGACACGAGCUGACGACGGCCGUGCAACACCUGUGUAGGCUCCCUUGCGGGUCGGUUCCCUUUCAGGUCCCUACCACCUACAUGUCAAGCCUGGGUAAGGUUCUUCGCGUACCAUCGAAUUGAACCGCACGCUCCGCUGCUUGUGCGGGCCCCCGUCAAUUCCUUUGAGUUUUAACCUUGCGGUCGUACUCCCCAGGCGGGUCACUUAAUGCGUUAGCUUCGGCACUGCCGGGGUCGAUACCGACAACACCUAGUGACCAUUGUUUACGGCUAGGACUAA
rnacentral:misc_RNA from 1 species